UUCGCCGGCGUUUCUGUUAAAUAGAACUUCUUUGGACUCCGCGAGCCCUCAAGCUGACAGUGAAUUACAAGAUUUUUCUUGGAAAAGGACUAAUUUUGAGUUUUCAUCCUUGGUGUUCUCACAACAUAAAAUUAAACCCAUUCAGGGUUGGUUGUAGCUGAGAACAAGGGUGGUGAAAUGUCAAGAUAUAAUUUGGAUUGUAAGGUUUACGUUGGGGAUUUGGGUAAUAAUGCAUCCAAACAAGAACUAGAAGAUGCAUUUGGGUACUAUGGACCUCUUCGCAAUGUUUGGGUUGCAAGGAAUCCGCCUGGUUUUGCUUUCGUCGAAUUUGAGGAUGCUAGGGACGCCGAAGAUGCAGUUAGAGGCUUAGAUGGCAGAACAAUAUGUGGCCGAAGAGCAAGGGUAGAACUUUCCAGUGGAAAGAGUGGUGGUAGGUAUCGGGGGCCUCCACCUCGUUCUCGAGGUAGACCUUUUCAUCCUGAUGAUCGGUGUUAUGGAUGCGGUGAUCGAGGGCACUAUGCAAGAGAUUGUACAAGGCAAAAAAGAGGAGGUGGUAGCAGUAGACGUAGGUAUAGUCUUUGGCCGAUAGUCAGGUAAAGCAUAGUUCAGUUCAGACAAUCGUCUUGCCUCUCUCCACGACUACUCAGUGUGCUGCAUCGUAGAAUUACAUCGAUAGCAAUGUCUCCACGCGACACUUCUGCAAAACUGCAUAUUCCUUAAGAGAGACUUCUGAGUAUUGAGCCAAUGAAAACGAAAUAUCUACGAGAACUCUCGAGUCUAGCCCCUUCUACCUACUUGAUUGAAUGUUGAUUAUCACUACCUCCUCCUACAAUGUUUUCUACAGUUUGCGUCACGACAUGAUCACAAAUAAUGGUCUAGGUCCAGGUCAAGGAGCCGUGGCCGCUACAGGAGAUCCCGCUCCCGAAGCACCAAGUCCAGAAGCAGGUCCAGGAACCGCUCCAGAUCCC